AGGACGAACGCUGGCGGCGUGCUUAACACAUGCAAGUCGAGCGGUAAGGCCUUUCGGGGUACACGAGCGGCGAACGGGUGAGUAACACGUGGGUGAUCUGCCCUGCACUCUGGGAUAAGCCUGGGAAACUGGUCUAAUACCGGAUAUGACCUGCUCUCGCAUGGGGGUGGUGGAAAGAUUUA
rnacentral:rRNA from 1 species